rnacentral:lncRNA from 1 species
GAAACUUCAAUUACGGUUUACAUGUAUAAACGAAUUUUUUAUUUUGAUUUAAUUAUAUAUAUUUGAAGAAAUAAAUACAUAUAUUUAUUUUCAUAUGAAUUAAUACAAUUAUUUGUCUAUACGAUAUAUCAACUUUAAAUGGUGCUAAUCCGAUAAUAAUGUCAAUGAUUUGUGAAAAUUAAAUCAAAUCAAAAUUUUAUGUAUAAAAUUACACAAAAUCAAAGUUCAUAUAUAACAUUACAUAUUGAAUUAAAACUGAUGUAUAAUUAAGAUAUUUUAGAAUACUAAUCCAG